CAUAAGGAAGCAUCGGACGUCCGGAAGGAUUGGACGCAUGCCUCGGACGCACAUCAACCGCAUCGGACAUCCGAAAAAUUCCAAGAUGACUUGCCAACUCUCUGCCAAUGAUCGGACGCUGUGCUGUCGGACGAUAAAAACGCAUCGGACGUCCGAACUUCAACUUGGCUGCUUUCGGACGAUUGGUUCGGACGAUGAUUUGGUCGUCGGACGUCCGACAGCCCCAACGGCUAGCUGACUCUUCAUCUGCCUUCUAUCCGUUGGAAGCAUUGAUGAAACCCAUUUUUGGUCCCCUUUAAAAACAAACUGUUCUGAACCAAGAAGGAACUUUUGCACACUUUGUUUACAAGUUCUCAAGAGAUAUUUUAGCUAGAAAAUAGUCUCCAAAGCUAGAUUUGUUAUCCAAGUGGUAUGAAUUUCGUGUGAGCAUUUCUUUUGUGGUUGAAAGUUUCAUUAGUGUAGCUUUGUUGAGGGUUAUCUGAGUGAUUGUAAAACUUCUUAACUUGACUAAGUGAGGCUUAGGGCAAGGAGGAAGUGCUCCCUCCAUUGUACAUCUAGUUGAACAUCUUUCAUCAAAGAGAAGUUGCUCAACCUAGUGAUUGGUCUUCAAGUUUGAGGAAAGCUUGGUAGACAAUCGGUUUGAUACUCUAUCUUACUUUUUGUUUAAUAAAAAUCUCAUUGCUUAUUUAUACUUAUUUCUCUGAUCAAUAGUGUUCUCUUAUUCUAAU
rnacentral:lncRNA from 1 species